rnacentral:lncRNA from 1 species
CCCUUUUAUAAUGCUAACCGUAUGCCCUAUUUACUUCUAUUUUUUUCUCUAGAAUCUCCUCCCAAAAAACAAUUUAUCAUAAUAUCAAAUUUGAGUAUUUUUUUUUUAAUAUAUUAAACUUUCUUUGUUUGAUCUUUUCAUUUUUUUUUUAAAUUAUUUCUUUUCUUUUUGUACCCUUCUCAACAAUGUGCAUUUUGUAAUAUUAAGCUUUUUUUUUGUUUGGCCCCUUGUGGUUUUUAUAUGAAUAUAUAAUAUAUUUUAUAAGUUGAUCACAAUAUAAAGAUGAAUGACCUAUCUUAUAGGUCAUUUAAUACUAGGUCACCUUGUUAUUACAUGUCAUUGGGAAAAAAACAUCUGGACUUACCACUAGUUUAUUGAACUUUCUCGACCUUCCCUUUAUAUUGUAUUAUGAUCUAUUUGACUGUUUAUUAAUUUAUCUACAUUUUGCUGAUAUCUAAUGAUAUUUAUGUAUCUAACAUAUGUUCCAAAAUUUGACCAAAAUUACACCAUAU